rnacentral:rRNA from 1 species
UACGUAGGAUGCAAGCGUUGUUCGGAAUCACUGGGCGUAAAGAGUACGUAGGCGGUGUCAAAAGUCUGAUAUUAAAUACCGAAGCUUAACUUCGGGAAUGUAACAGAAACUUUGAUGCUAGAGGGUAAUAGGGGAAGCUGGAAUUCUCAGUGUAGCGGUGAAAUGCGUAGAUAUUGGGAAGAACACCUGUGGCGAAAGCGAGCUUCUGGGUUACAACUGACGCUGAGGUACGAAAGCGUGGGGAGCAAACGGG